GCUGGGAGUGCCGAAAGGUGGCCUUGUGGAUUAAGAAAUACAAUCUUAAAAAGCUGAAGCUGGAAUGUGAACCAGUAUUUCCAACUUUAAGCUGAAAUCAUCUGAAUUUAAAGAACACAUCGUGCCUGAACAUGCCAAGCUGAACAUGCUCAGAAUGUCCUUCCCACCUUGGCAGCCCCUGAAGCCCACCUCCUCCUGUUUGCCCUACUGGGAAAACCCCAGUCCUGGAUGACUCCAACAAUCAACCUUCCUGGCUCCAGCUCCCAGGCUGCAGAGAGCUGCUAGGGAAAACCACAGCAGAUGUACUGGCUGCAUUUCAACUACUUGGUCUCCAAAUUCAACCCGGUCCUCGAUGGUGCCCUAUAACACUACGGGUCACUGGCCCCAGCCCAAUGUAGCUCUCCGCACAUGAAAUUCUUCUUUCAAACCCCCAGACUCAUCAGUUCUCUUCUGCUCUCAGCAGGUGUUCCUACCUCUUGCUUCCUUAAGAAGCAUUUAAGGCCACCUUCAACUUCUGCCCUUUCUGUCCACACACUAGCCCCACAAAAUUCUACCUGUAGGUACAGCUAUCCUUUCCUUCUAGGCUCCUGCCUCGGAGGGAGAGGUGGACUGCCUGUUGUCCAAGGCUGAAUCUUCCUCCCUUCUGUUUUGGCUUUGGGAAAAGACAGACCUGAGUUCAGCCCCAGCUCUGCCACAAAACUAGCCACGUGGUUUAUGGCCACCAUGACUUGGCUCCCUGUGAUCAAGCUUUCCUGGGCUUUGUGGCAUUGCAGAGGACAGCACCUAUUCCCAGAAUGGGCAUUGUCACAUAAUCACAAUGUGACUGUUCAUUUUAAAAGUCACAUCCUUAUUAUAUGAUUAUGCAGCAAUAUGGUCCUGUUGUUAUGGGAACAUAUUAUUCCUGUAAUCCAAUUCUUAUAACUGUACAAAUAUUUGUGUUGGAGUUCCUGGGGGAGGGGGCUGGGAAUAGGGCAGUAGACAAAAAGCCUGAAAGGCACUCACACAAAGCUUCCCACCACUUGGCGGGACCCAAGACUGGACAGGCAGAAAACCACCCCUGCCAUCGCCCAAAGGCAUCCUUUGAAAGGGAGUUGGGAGAAGCUGAGAAGGCAUGCCACCUGCAUCCUCUGACCUAACGUCACCCGGUGUUCCUCACUGUGACCAGCCCCCUCGUCGCACUGCCAUGGACAGCAUUGCACAGAUGUGAGUGUGCCAGGUACUCACUCUGCCACCAGUGUUCAUCAACCCUCAAAUGCAGCAUUUCAAAGAAGCUUUCACUGUGUGAUCUCCAGCAAGCUGUUUCACCUUUCUGAGUUUGGUUGCCUCAUCUGCAGGAUGAGAAUGACGUGACCCUCUCCUCCCAGGGCAGUGGGAGGCAUGGAGGAGGGUAUGGAAUGUAGCCCUCCACAUGGCUCCUGGUGUGCGGGCAGCACACACGGAACAGUGCCUGCUGUUGCUCAUCUCAUUCCCUACCCACCCCAUCAGGAUGUGUGGCCUCUUCCAUCCCAUUAACUCCUCCUCCUCAACCUAUCAAUCCAUUCUAGUUUCUCAGCUCUGAAAUUAAAAUAAAACCAAAACCUCUCCUCACACCACAUCCAAUUCCCACCACCGUCUCCCUCUUCCUUUCUACAAUCACAUUUCUUGAGUAUUUCUUCCCUGACAAUGUCUACGCCUUUUUUUCCCGUUCAUACCUCAAAGCCCACUCAAGGCCAGCAGAGAUUCUCCUCAGAUUUACCAAGGAUGCCUGGGAAAGCCUAUUCUUAUAUGUACCUUAGCAGCACAAAUACAGAGGAAGCUGGCAGAAGACUGAGGGAUGUGUUGAAAGAAAGCAGCCCCAGUAGGGCUGAGACUAAGGUGUGGUGAGUGAGGCACCCAGGGUGCAAAGUUUCAGGAGGCGCUCACUCUCAGAGUUGUGCAAGAAUGAGCGCCUCCUCAAAUUCUGCAGCCAAGGCACCUAUUUGCCUUACCCUAGUCAUAGCCCUGCUUCUCAAAAUAAUCCAAAGUUUAGUUUAUUUCUAACACAAAAAGCAUACAAAAAAGGAUACCAUGCGGUCACUAAAAGGAAUGAAAUGGAUCCUUUCAUACAGCUUUUAUGCAGCUACUCCCUCUGGCCACUCGUUGCCAUAGGAACAGAGGCCCAGGGUCGCUGGAGGUUCUAACGUUUCAAGAGAAGUUGGAAAUGUUAAUUUUUAUGUGAAAGCUUAUGACUUU
rnacentral:lncRNA from 1 species